rnacentral:rRNA from 1 species
UGAGGAAUAUUGGUCAAUGGGCGGAAGCCUGAACCAGCCAAGUCGCGUGAGGGAUUAAGGCCCUAUGGGUCGUAAACCUCUUUUGUCAGGGAGCAAGACCUUUCACGUGUGGGAGGUUGGAGAGUACCUGAAGAAAAACGCAUCGGCUAACUCCGUGCCAGCAGCCGCGGUAAUACGGAGGAUGCGAGCGUUAUCCGGAUUUAUUGGGUUUAAAGGGUGCGUAGGCGGGACCUUAAGUCAGCGGUAAAAUUGCGGUGCUCAACGCCGUAGAGCCGUUGAAAGCUGGGGUUCUUGAGUGAGCGAGAAGUAUGCGGAAUGCGUGGUGUAGCGGUGAAAUGCAUAGAUAUCACGCAGAACCCCGAUUGCGAAGGCAGCAUACCGGCGCUCAACUGACGCUGAGGCACGAAAGUGCGGGUAUCGAACAGGAUUAGAUACC